rnacentral:rRNA from 1 species
UACAGAGGGUGCAAGCGUUAAUCGGAGUUACUGGGCGUAAAGGGCGCGUAGGUGGUUGUUUAAGUGAGAUGUGAAAGCCCUGGGCUUAACCUAGGAACUGCAUCUUAUACUGGGCAACUGGAGUACUGUAGAGGGUAGUGGAAUUUCCGGUGUAGCGGUGAAAUGCGUAGAGAUCGGAAGGAACACCAGUGGCGAAGGCGGCUACCUGGACAGAUACUGACACUGAGGCGCGAAAGCGUGGGGAGCAAACAGG